GAGUUGGCAACGAACGAAAGCCGGGCCAAAACGGCAGCUGACUGGGCGGCGGACAGAUGGUUGCUCAGACGGAUGGACGGACGGAUAGACAGACGGACAGCAGCAGCAGCAUUUGGCGCUGACCUUGAAGACGUAAAUGUGAAGACGCAUCUACAUAAAUAUCUAUUGUAUCUCCGGCUCUUUCUGUCUGGCAUCGGGCAUGAGGCAUCUGGUAUUUGUGUAUUGAAAGCGACAGUACGAACAAGAUCAAAGCUGAAAAACCUGUCGAUUGCCAUUUGAUCAGAACAGUUAUGUAAAUCACGGUCUAUAAUAAAGAACACAGCCCCAAGUUUGUCGAAUUUUAACCAAAGAUAGACAACGCCCCCGCGCACAGAGGCAAUCAUUCCGAUUAGCACUCGAAGCCAUCGAUCACAGCCAGAUUAAUUAUGCAAAGCCAGCAUGAUAAAUGCAGCUCGAUGCAGAUGCCCUCGAAAAGCUGCGGAAAAGACCC
ensembl:ncRNA lncRNA:CR45421 long non-coding RNA:CR45421